UACGAAGGGUGCAAGCGUUACUCGGAAUUACUGGGCGUAAAGCGUGCGUAGGUGGUUUGUUAAGUCUGUUGUGAAAUCUCCAGGCUCAACCUGGAGGGGUCAUUCGAUACUGCCAUGACUAGAGUUCGGUAGGGGAGUGUGGAAUUCCUGGUGGAGCGGUGAAAUGCGCAGAUAUCAGGAGGAACACCCGUAGCGAAGGCGGCACUCUGGGCCGAUACUGACACUGAGGAGCGAAAGCGUGGGGAGCGAACAGG
rnacentral:rRNA from 1 species